AGAUACUAUGCCUGUGUCCGUCUCCGAGAACUGCAAAUGAAAGAGGCUAACUUACGUCAACUAUAUAAAUCUUUGGGCUGUUCACUUUAGUCUUGGCUUCACUGAUAUCUUUUUCAAUAAAAUACCCUUUCCUGCAAUGGCUGCACUUGAUGCGCAGAAGGAGGUAUGGCUAUGGGCGGGCUGCCCUGGUUGCAGGCCCGGGCAUGUGGCAUGCUUCAUUGGACCAGACACAAAUUUAGUGCCAGGCGGUUGCAAUUAGGCGAAAAGCGUUGCAUAUUCUGUGGCGUUAAAUUUUCCGUGUGCAAUUAAAAUUUUGGUUUCGGCCAAGAAAAUUUGC